AGAAACAAAAAGCAUUGAAGAGAGAUGAAGCUGCUGUACCAAUUGACACGCACACGCCACUACAGAUUCCCUUUUCCCUCAGCUAUGGACAUGGAACUUCGACUGAAGCAACUCCUCGAAAUCAGUAUCGGGGCGAAGAUUCCAUGGAGCACAAUUUUUCAAAGAAUCGCAUCGUAGGAGGAGGACAUCGCUUUCGAGCAUGUACUCGUUUCGAAUAACACCUUGGAGCAAUUGUGUAUUGAGUUUGCUCAGGAAGGCAAAACGAAAAAAAAUAUUCCUGCCACCUCAUCAAUCAACAUUGUAACCAAAGCGGCUUUCUUCGAAAGCCAUCACAGAAGAUCUGAUUGCGAGCUAUUCAGUUCGGAGCUGUGUGAAGCAAAAAAUGUAAUAGCAUUCCUUACUUUCUUGCAUAAUAUAUCUUCGCGGUAUCCCC